rnacentral:rRNA from 1 species
CCCUUAGAUGUCCGGGGCCGCACGCGCGCUACACUGAAGGAAUCAGCGUGGCUUUCUCCCUGACCCGAAAGGGUUGGGAAACCCUUUGAAUCUCCUUCGUGAUAGGGAUUGGGGCUUGAAAUUGUUCCCCAUGAACGAGGAAUUCCCAGUAAGCGCGAGUCAUAAGCUCGCGUUGAUUACGUCCCUGCCCUUUGUACACACCGCCCGUCGCUACUACCGAUUGAACGGUUUAGUGAGGGCCUCGGAUUGGUCUCGGCCCGCUCUUUACCGGGCGGCGCCGUUGGUCGAGAAGACGCUCGAACUUGAUCGUUUAGAGGAAGUAAAAGUCGUAACA